AUAGGUGAUCUCAUUUCUUGGUUCAGUGAAGUGAUUAUGUGGAGCUUGUGAGGAAAAAAGAUAGGACAAGAAGCCUAGGAGGUUGUCUACAGCCACUGCCCUGGUAUGUGACCUGCUUGCAUCUUUUCCUGAUUACCUCACAACUGCAAUUGUCUAAGUUUUAUAUUAUCCAUCAUUUUAUCAGUUUAUUUCAUGAGUUUGUUUUCUCGAAUUUCAUGUAUGCGUUGAUGACCUGAAAUCUUAAUAUAUAUUUGUUUGACAGUGAGUGCUGCUGAACAUGUAAGUAUAGUCGGGAGAGUCAUGUACUCGCUCGAUGCCAUAGCUCACCCACCCCGAGUUGUGCCACCCUCUUCUAGCCGGAGGUGCCGCCGUCGCCGCUGUCGAGGACAUCUUAAUAUUAAACAAUAAGUAUUAUAUUCAUCAAGAGAGUUUCCUCGCUAUGUGGUGUUCACAUUUGUUCUCUCCAAGAUCAUGUAGCGGUGUGAUUAUUUUUUGCAGUUUCCCUAAUUACCCUUUUCUCUUAUUCUAGCUUCUAUAUUGUUGUGUUCACAACACUGGAGGGAUCUUACUGAAGGAAGAUUUAAUAAUAGGUAGAGUUUCCGUACUUACUGAUUAUAUAUAUUGACAUAUGACCAUAACUGAACAAUGUUGAGUUAUCUUCUAAAUUGGCAUGGAUUUUUUUCUGCUAAAAACAUUUUCCUAUGAUAUUUUGCAAUUUCCAUGUUUCGAUUGAGCUUGUUAUGAUUUAUCGGUAAGUCCUCUCUCAGCUUUUAGAUUUGUGCUUAGAUUGUUGUAUAUAAGCCAAAAUGAAUCUAUAAUAAGGGAAAUAAUCUGACUAAGCUUACUGUAUGAAUGAAACUGAAGAGUGAAGUGAUAUUUCUUUCUACCAUUGCGUAGCUUUACCAUCACCGAUCCAGGUUAAGUGUAUAAUUUGUUUUUCUAUGCAUUAUUCGGAUACAAAGGAUUCAAGCUGUAAAAAAUAUGCAGUGGAUUCAAGGUUAUGCAGAACAUUAUCGCAAGCUAGCAUUUCCUGUGAAAAGAAGACAAUUAUCUAGAACACGAUUAAUUUGUAGAAAAAAUGCUGAUAGGUAAAUCUAGAUGACCAGCCGACAGAAACUUUACCAGGUUGUUUAUUUGUAUGAGUUACAAUCUAUGUUUCUCAUUUGAUGUUAUAGAAAAUGUUCUGAUGGACUCAUUGUUUUUGCUAUCUUGGCCUAUGUGUUCAUCGCAAGUUGUUAGAUUUGUCUAUAGGGUUUACCAUGUGCAUUCAUUUUGAUCACUUUCAUCAAAUUGCCUUUCUACCAUUCAAAUUCUUAACAAUGUGAAUUUUCUUCAUGCUGAUGGAUUGGCCAACUUGUUUUCUGCAUCUAUGCGAUUGCCGAUGGAGCGAACAAAUUUUUGCUACACUAUGAAGUUUCUUUAUCUGGUACGUUGAGAAGAUGUGAGAUUGCAUUGUCUUCUUGUUAUUAGGGAGACAUGGACUUCCCGACAGUUCGAACUUAGGGUUUCAAUUUUGUAGUCCAAAUAUGAUCUCCUGACCAGACUGGAAUAAGCCUCUUUGUUUUGUUUUCAUUUUCGCAGCCCCAAGAGAAGUGCAGAAAUGGGUGUUGUGUUCCAUGAACACUUGAAAUAAUUCAGUUCUGGUUUCUAUCAAUAUAUUGUUUGUACUGCAUAUAUAUUAUUUUUAGCUACGCAAUUUCCUUCGACAGGCAAAGACUUGUCUAUUAGUAUCUUUUGUAUUUGAUGGAAUGUUGUAACGAGACAAAACCUUCGAGGCAAGAAACAGGGAACAACAAGCUUGAUAGUAUUGUACAUUUUUUUUAUCACUGGAAAUUUAUAUGUACUCAUUAUAUAGCUGGAAAACCGAAUGAAAAUUAAUAUGUGCAACAUUAUUUUUGCAUUAAU
rnacentral:lncRNA from 1 species